rnacentral:sRNA from 1 species
GACUACUUGUCAUGUGUAUGAUUGAGUAUAAGAACUAGAAACGCAACUGGUUCCCAAAAGCCAAAGUAGUGUUUCCUUGUUUGAAGUUA